rnacentral:rRNA from 1 species
GACGAACGCUGGCGGCGUGCCUAAUACAUGCAAGUAGAACGCACAGUUUAUACCGUAGCUUGAUCCACCAUAAACUGUGAGUUGCGAACGGGUGAGUAACGCGUAGGUAACCUGCCUGGUAGCGGGGGAUAACUAUUGGAAACGAUAGCUAAUACCGCAUAAUAUUGAUUAUUGCAUGAUAAUUGAUUGAAAGAUGCUAUUGCAUCACUACCAGAUGGACCUGCGUUGUAUUAGCUAGUAGGUGAGGUAACGGCUCACCUAGGCGACGAUACAUAGCCGACCUGGGAGGGUGAUCGGCCACACUGGGACUGAGACACGGCCCAGACUCCUACGGGAGGCAGCAGUAGGGAAUCUUCGGCAAUGGACGAAAGUCUGACCGAGCAACGCCGCGUGAGUGAAGAAGGUUUUCGGAUCGUAAAGCUCUGUUGUAAGAGAAGAACGGGUGUGAGAGUGGAAAGUUCACACUGUGACGGUAUCUUACCAGAAAGGGACGGCUAACUACGUG